GAGAUACUAGAGAGAGACUAGUGAGGGAGGCACCAUCAUGAUGUGAAGCACGGUGGUGGCAGCAUCAUGAUGUGAAGCAUGGUGGUGGCACCAUCAUGAUGUGAAGCACGGUGGUGGCAGCAUCAUGAUGUGAAGCAUGGUGGAGGCAGCAUCAUGAUGUGAAGCACGGUGGUGGCAGCAUCAUGGUGUUCCUCAGCAGCAGGUCCUGGAAGGCUGGUAGAGUGCAAAUGAAAUCCUGGAGGACAACCUGAUGCAUCUGAAGAGAACUGAGACAUGGAGAAGAUCAAGUUUCCAUUCAGACGAUGAGUCGAAGCAAACAGACAAAGAUCCUCAGAGACGGUUUGAAGACAACAAGGUGGAAGUUCUGGAGGAGUCAGAGUCCAGACCUCCAUCCAGCUGAGAACUAGACUCUGGACCUGAAAGGUUCUGUUGAUCAGGAUCCCUGAGGAACCUGACAAAGUUUGAGUUUUUUUUUUUUUUUUUUUUUUAAAGUUAUUUUUUUUUUUUGCCUUUUUUCAGCUUUAUUUUCAUAGGCACAGUUAGAGAGAGACAGAAACAGGGGAGAGAAGAGUUGGGGGAAGACAUGCAGCAAAGGGCCGCGAGCGGGAAUCGAACCUGGGUUGCUGCGUCGGAGACCAGCCCCUGUACAUGGGUCACCCGCUUAACGCGUUGAGCUAUAGGGACACCCCAGUUUAAGAGUUUUUAAAGAAGAAGGAGGAGAAAGUUCAGAUGUUCAGACUGAUGGAGACCAACAGGAUCCAUGAUGGACCUGAAGGUUCAUCUACUAGAUCCUGACUGGAAGGAGGAGAACACUGAUGGAGUCACUGAUUUAUGGUUUAUAUUUACUGACAUUAUUUAGUAGAAAACCGUUUUCGUUUUUGGUUAAAUUCUUGUCAAAAAGCUGCUCUAAUUUGUCCAGAAUUCAACUCUUAGCAACAAAGUUAAACUGAAUUUAAAAAGUACGAUUUGGGUGAAAUAAUGUUUUCAAACUGUCAGUAGUUUGACAGAAACUUGUAUUUGUUGUGAAAGUAAACUGUGAGUUUUCCUCUUUUGUAAUCAUCCACAACAGUAGGUGGCGCUGUGGAGAAAAACAAGGCUUCUGGAGAUGAGGUCCUCAAAGAGCUGUUGCAGACACAUCAGUUUCAUUUUACUCUCAUGACGUAAUGUUUCCUGCAGGUGGCCUCAUCCUGAAACAGUUCCUUCACGUCUCACGUUUCCUUUAAUCCUAAUAAAACUGAUUGUAAUUCACCAUUUAAGGGCCUGAUGAAGGGAAUAAACCUGCGGCUGUUCCUCUCUCAGCCUGCAGGAGGAGUAAAUUAUCUGACAGGCGAGUUCUGAGCUUUUCGUUAGUUCUACAUCCCGCUCCGGUGGUUUGCUCAAAGUUCAUCUGAUGGAAGUUUAUGGCUUUAAAGGUUUAAAGACACGAGAAGAAACAAACCAGAGCUCCUCCUCUGGCUCUGAGCUCUGGCAGGAAAACUUCCAUCUGUAAAAUCCUAAAUAUUCUGAAUCUGUCAGUGAAACCGAGCAUUACAAGGUUCCACCUGCAGAACGUUCAGGAACAGCUUGGAGGCAGGAUGCAGGUUAUUUUAAUGCUGCAGAGAUAUUCAGUCAAGCAGAUACACUGGAUUAUUUCAGUAACUUUAAAGUACUUUAGUGUGUAUUAUUGGGUAAAUGGUAGUGGAUUGUAAAUAUUCAAUGACUUGGGUUGAAAUGGGAGCAAAAGGAAAAAUAAUAGAAGUAUCAGGAUGACUUUAGUUUAAAUUCACAUAGUUUAGAUACAUGGAAGCAGAGAAGCAGCUGGUUGGAGGUCAUUAAUUAUAACUGAAGUCUUUGUCAUGGUGCCCACUGCUAGCUAAACUCAUCCAGGUCCUGGUGAUUGUUGGAGCUUCAGCAAAAACCAGCCGGACUUCACUGGAAAACGUCUCAAUAAACGUUUCUCCUGAAGCUCCUACGACUAGAAGGUGGUGUAGGAAGAACGUUCUCACAUCAGCUCUGGUUGGACAUCAUUAACAACCACAGAUGUCAUCAGAUUUGAGACUUCUAUAGGUGCAGUUUCUGAUUUGAUACACCUCAGAACACCCAAACACACCCCUAGCAGAUGGUGCUGGAUAUAUAACAGUGCUGUCAGGGAGUGUUCCAGGAGCACUGGGAGCAGAGCUUCGCUGCACAAAAACACUACACUGGUGGGAAUAGCAGCCAGAUUUAGAUUAGAUGUUUGAUUUUCUCAGAAGUUUCUGACUCUUUGAUGUGUUUCAGGAAUAUGCGAGCUAUAAGGAGGUGUGUCAGUGUUCCAGGAGCACUGGGAGCAGAGCUUCGCUGCACAAGGAAACUUUCAACCGGGACAGUAGCUGGAUUUAUAUCAGGUUUUUGACUUUCUCCAAACUCCCAUAAUGCUCUCUGCUUUAACAUGACCUGUAGUUUGAGUGGCGCCUCCUCUGGUCUCUACAGGAUUAAACAGGAAGAGGCUCCACCUGGUGGAACAACCAGGAACUACAGCUGAUCUACACCUACUGACAUCAUGACUGUCUUCUCCAGCCUUAUCAAUUAAUAUAUUUAGAUAGAUCAGUUAAAC
ensembl:lncRNA